GGGUCCACCUGUGGUAAUCCACGGGGCUCUCCCCAUCUCAAGAUCCUAAGCGUAAUACAUCUUCUAAGUCUCUUUUGCCGUGAAUUAAUAGACUGCCCACUUCCAGUAUACACAUUUCUCCUAAUAGAUGAAGGAGUAUGAAGGAGUAAAAGAGAAGAGCUCACAUACAUAUUUUCCAGUUUACUCAAACAAAUACUCAAGUUUCUUGGCUGCAGCCACCAGCAGAAACCAGGAAGAGGAAAGGAAGAAUCUUACCCAGGGCCUCUGAAGGAACGUGGCCCUGCUGAUACCCUGAUUUCAUACUUACAGCCUUUAGAACUGUGGGAGGGUGAACUCCUGCCAUUUUAAGCCACUCCAUUUGUGCUUUCUUAUGGCAGCCCUAGGAGACUAAUAGAACACUUGAGAAGUAUUUGUUGAAUAAAGAUUGUCUAUUGUUU
ensembl:lncRNA